AUGCGAAGGGAGGGAGCUGCUCCAUUUUUUUUCUCCUCCAUCUUAAAUAUGUAUGUAUGGGGAAAAAUACAUUAAACGGACUUUCUUCUGGUUUUUUUGUCUUCCUCUUGGCAAGGUUCCUGUUGGAAAGCCAAGUUCUGCCUGUUAAGAGUAAGUGUGAGGAAAAGCAGAGCCCACCAAGAAUCACGGAGGAAGUGCCUGAAAGUUGCAUUCCUAGUCUCCUCUGCUGUCCUCGUUAGCCUCUUGAGCUGGAGCUACUUGGUCAGCGAAGAUGGGGUCGCCGAGGUUCUGGCUCAUUACAGCGAAAGUCUGCAGGACAGAUUCAUUGAGGUGCCCUGCUCCGAGGACUAUGACAGCCAUAAAAGAUUUGAAGGGUGCACUCCUAGAAAGUGUGGAAGAGGCAUAACAGACGCAGUAAUCACCAGGGAGGAAGCUGAAAGAAUCCGUAGAAUAGCGGAGAGGGGACUGUCCUUGGGAGGAUCUGAUGGAGGGGUGAGCAGCGUCCUGUUACCUUUUACAUUCUUCUGUUUUUAAGGCAAGAUUUUCAGGUUUUAAAUGCAUUUUUGGGAGGGGGCAAGGGGAGGAAGUAGGAUGGA